rnacentral:rRNA from 1 species
UACGAAGGGGGCUAGCGUUGCUCGGAAUCACUGGGCGUAAGGGGUGCGUAGGCGGGUCUUUAAGUCAGGGGUGAAAUCCUGGAGCUCAACUCCAGAACUGCCUUUGAUACUGAGGAUCUUGAGUUCGGGAGAGGUGAGUGGAACUGCGAGUGUAGAGGUGAAAUUCGUAGAUAUUCGCAAGAACACCAGUGGCGAAGGCGGCUCACUGGCCCGAUACAGACGCUGAGGCACGAAAGCGUGGGGAGCAAACAGG